CUGAGUGAGGGCCCUCGUGGUCCGACCUCCAACCCAUUGUUGUCCGACUCUGUUGCCUCGGGGGCGACCCGGCGCUUCGGCGCCAGGGGGUCCCCGCUGGUCCACACAACUCUGCAUCUUUGCGUCUGAGUAAACAUUAAAUGAAACA
rnacentral:misc_RNA from 2 species